rnacentral:rRNA from 1 species
GACGAACGCUGGCGGCGUGCUUAACACAUGCAAGUCGAACGGAAAGGCCCUGCUUUUGUGGGGUGCUCGAGUGGCGAACGGGUGAGUAACACAUGAGUAACCUGCCCUUGACUUUGGGAUAACUUCAGGAAACUGGGGCUAUACCGGAUAGGAGCUCCUGCUGCAUGGUGGGGGUUGGAAAGUUUCGGCGGUUGGGGAUGGACUCGCGGCUUAUCAGCUUGUUGGUGGGGUAGUGGCUUACCAAGGCUUUGACGGGUAGCCGGCCUGAGAGGGUGACCGGCCACAUUGGGACUGAGAUACGGCCCAGACUCCUACGGGAGGCAGCAGUGGGGAAUAUUGCACAAUGGGCGGAAGCCUGAUGCAGCAACGCCGCGUGCGGGAUGACGGCCUUCGGGUUGUAAACCGCUUUCGCCUGUGACGAAGCGUGAGUGACGGUAAUGGGUAAAGAAGCACCGGCUAACUACGUG